CCGGUUUAUGGUUUAUGACGCGUCAUAAACAUAGUUUAAAAAGGGGGCGACGGCUGCUGUAGGGUCCCCGCAUUCAUCAAGUUGUCUGCAGUGUUCUUUUCAUUCAACAUGGCCUGCUCAUCAGAAGAAACCCACAGAUCAGAUAGUGCUAUUUGGUUGUAUAGGGACCCUUGUACCCCGUCACCACUGUCUUCUCCCGCCAUGGACGACUCUGCGUCGAGCAAUGAGGACAUUGAAAACCAGAUGCCUGAUGCACAGGUCAAUGAUGAACAUGUGCAAAGUGGGGGUGUGGCUAUGGAGACUGCUGAUUUAAAGGCUGUACAACCCGGACCCCACUGGCUUCAAGAGUAUGCCAUCUAUCUGGCCGGAUUGAAUCUGUCCUUCCUACACAUUGGAGAGGACAGUGAGCUGGAGGUGGACACUGCUAUGAGAGAUGACGGAUGGCCUGUAUCAAUACAGAUCAGUUUAAACCCUGCAUCGCUGGCUGUUCUGCGAUUUACCACGGGGCUCUGUGUGGUAGCCAUCAUCAGCCAUCAGAAGCAAGCGGCCUGCUGGGGAUGCCAAUGUGAUUGCCCAAGUCAACGACGCCAUUCAUGCCUGCAGGGAGCGACACAUCAUCACUACGAAUCCCACUACCAUGACAUUUGUGUUAUGCUGGACAGACACCCCUUCCUGUUACUUUUAGAAACUGUUUUAAAGAAGACUACAGGGUUGACUGUGUCCCCAGGAAAAAUAUAUGGUGUGGUUGAAUCUUAUCUAUGUGAUUUAAUAUGCAAUACCUAUGAUACCAAAAAACUGGAUUUAAUGACCACCGAAGGUGUGUCCGAUGAACAUCUGCUUCUGAUAUAUGAAGCCAUACAAAUGUGGCAUCCUACAUUGUCAUUAGGCAAACCAAAGCCUGUUGUCGGGUGGCGUUUAUAAUGGGGAUUUUGUUUUCUUAUGCGUAUGAUGCGGAUAGCAAGUCUGUAUCAGAUAGACUAGCCGUUUUGAUGUAUGCUGCCAUAGAAAAUGAUACGUUUGUCCAUCAUAAUGCUGAUUUGGUCAUGAAAUUCUUGCAUGACAAGCCUACUGAUCUAAUGUUAGCUGAAAUAUUUAACCAUUUCUCCGACGGGGAGUGUUUUACUGUCGGUCAUGUAAUGUGUAUAUGUGCUUUUGUGUCGGAUGUCUUGAAGAUGAAUAAUGCCUCAUACGCAGAGUGUAUUAGUACUGCUCGAAUGAUGUCUUGUAAAAUGGUGCAGAAAAAUAAAUCUGCCUGUAAACUAUAUCUGAACAUUGUUUUGAGCGGACAGACAUUUUAAAUAAAAGGAUGGAUUACUCUGA